ACAGAACUUUAAGUUUCCUGGGACAAGAUCAAGACCAGAUAAGAUCAAGACUUAAACUUUAAACAUAUUUAAAAAUUGAUAUAAAAUCAGAAUUAAUAGCUUCCUAACUAAGUUGGUACUUGACGGACAAUGCCUAAGAGAAGAUGUACAUUGAGGACAGUACCAUUUUCCUUUUGGAGGCGCAGUGAUACCCACACAUGGAUAGUGAAACCAUUCAAAAGGACACUAUAAAAAGAUAAUGAGAAAAAAUAAAUGUUUAAUAAAUAUAAAUAUUCUUACUUGACUCAUACGGAAAUAUAUAUAAGGAAAAAAGGUUAGCUUACAUCUGAAUUGUCACAGGCAACCAUAUCCCCAUAAGAUACUUGAUUACAUAUACAAUAUCUUGGUUCAUUUGGAUCAUAAGUCCAAUCUGGAUUAUCUGAAUCUACAACUUGUGUAUUUGUAGUUAUAACUGGAGGUGAUACAGGUUGCUGAACAGAGGCAGCAACUACACUCGAACUUGGGACAGCAGUUACUUUUCUAAAAUGAGUAAUAAUAUUCAUUCAAAGCAAACACGCGAAAAUUUUCACAAAGGGAAAUAUUACAAGUUACAGUUUAACUCCAAAAUAUAUUAGGUAGAGUAGAGAAACUAUACACUAUUUAGAAAACAUACAACUAACCUUAAACUUACAAAGAAUGGUAUAUCAAUAAAUUGCUCAUAUAAUGAGGUAUUUAACUCGAUAAUAAAAUAAAAGCCAGCAUUUAAAUGAUUACAUGUGAUAAUACAAUAUCUACUAAAAUAUUCGCUUUAAGAAACGCUUCUGAUGUUUGUGCGAGAGAGUAUAUUUGGAAAGAUUAGUAACUUUCUUCAGAAGCUGGACGAUUGUGUAGUAUUAAGGAUUAAAGAAAGUUAGGAUUCUUUCUUUUGGUCUUUAUUAACAAUAUUCCCUGCAUAUUGAUCGACGUAUUAUAAGAUCUUUUUAUACUAAAAGAAAGGUGCGUUGAACUUUUCCUUCGUAAAAUGAUACGGCGCAGUCCGACGAGAAUCGACUUACGACUAGACGAUCUGCAAGAAUAUGAGGCGAUGAGGAAAGCUCUCGAAGCUAAGAAAGAAUCAGAAAGACCACCUACAACAUUCAAUCCUCCCCCCUGGGGUGGUAAAAUCCCGCAAAGUGAAAUUCAAGAACGCAUCGGUUAUAUGCCGCAACAAGCUCAAACUACACAUUGUCGGCCAAAUUUAUAGCUUUUUAUAUAAUACUUAUGUAUUCUGGAUUAUAUUAUUUUUUAUGUUUGUUCCAAUAUUACCAUGUAAUUGACUGUAGUCCAUCAUGAAAUAAAAUAAAUCCAUUGAAAUUCA